rnacentral:tRNA from 1 species
GCCUUCGUGGUGUAGUGGUCAGCACGCUGGACGCGGGUUCCAGAGGUCUGUGGUUCGAGUCCCGAUGAAGGCG